GACGAACGCUGGCGGCGUGCCUAAUACAUGCAAGUUGAGCGCUGAAGGUUGGUACUUGUACCAACUGGAUGAGCAGCGAACGGAUGAGUAACGCGUGGGGAAUCUGCCUUUGAGCGGGGGACAACAUUUGGAAACGAAUGCUAAUACCGCAUAAAAACUAUAAACACAAGUUUUAAGUCUGAAAGAUGCAAUUGCAUCACUCAAAGAUGAUCCCGCGUUGUAUUAGCUAGUUGGUGAGGUAAAGGCUCACCAAGGCGAUGAUACAUAGCCGACCUGAGAGGGUGAUCGGCCACAUUGGGACUGAGACACGGCCCAAACUCCUACGGGAGGCAGCAGUAGGGAAUCUUCGGCAAUGGACGAAAGUCUGACCGAGCAACGCCGCGUGAGUGAAGAAGGUUUUCGGAUCGUAAAACUCUGUUGUAGAGAAGAACGUUGGUGAGAGUGGAAAGCUCAUCAAGUGACGGUAACUACCCAGAAAGGGACGGCUAACUACGUGCCAGCAGCCGCAGUAA
rnacentral:rRNA from 1 species